GUAUUUACUGGCCAGGGAAGAUACCAUGAUCAUGGAGGUGUUCUCACAGUGAGGCUUAUUCCCUGCACUCUGAGUGUGGAGAGCCUGGGCGGUGUCCCCCAGUAUGGGAAACUAGAUGUGUAUUCUGUGGUACUGGGGGGAGGACUGCAUUUGUGUGNGCCUGUU
rnacentral:snRNA from 11 species